GAUGAACGCUGGCGGCGUGCCUAAUACAUGCAAGUCGAGCGAACGGACGAGAAGCUUGCUUCUCUGAUGUUAGCGGCGGACGGGUGAGUAACACGUGGAUAACCUACCUAUAAGACUGGGAUAACUUCGGGAAACCGGAGCUAAUACCGGAUGAUCUUUUGAACCGCAUGGUUCAAAAGUGAAAGACGGUCUUGCUGUCACUUAUAGAUGGAUCCGCGCUGCAUUAGCUAGUUGGUAAGGUAACGGCUUACCAAGGCAACGAUGCAUAGCCGACCUGAGAGGGUGAUAGGCCACAUUGGAAGUGAGACACGGUCAAGACGCCUACGGGAGGCAGCAGUAGCGAAUCGUCCGCAAUGGGCGGAAGCCUGACGGAGCAACGGCGCGUGAGUGAUGAAGGUCUUCGGAUCGUAAAACUCUGUUAUUAGGGAAGAACAUAUGUGUAAGUAACUGUGCACAUCUUGACGGUACCUAAUCAGAAAGCCACGGCUAACUACGUG
rnacentral:rRNA from 1 species